UACGUAGGGAGCAAGCGUUGUCCGGAAUCAUUGGGCGUAAAGCGCGCGUAGGCGGCCCGGUAAGUCCGUUGUAAAAGUCGAAGGCUCAACCUUCGAAAGCCGAUGGAUACUGCCGGGCUAGAGUCCGGAAGAGGCGAGUAGAAUUCCUGGUGUAGCGGUGGAAUGCGCAGAUAUCAGGAGGAAUACCCAUAGCGAAGGCAGCUCGCUGGGACGGUACUGACGCUAAGGCGCGAAAGCGUGGGGAGCGAACAGG
rnacentral:rRNA from 1 species